rnacentral:rRNA from 1 species
UUGUAGCCUGCUAUGGUAUAACUUAGUGGCAGACGGGUGAGUAAUAUAUAGGAAUCUACCUAGUAGUACGGAAUAAUUGUUGGAAACGGCAACUAAUACCGUAUAAGCCCUACGGGGGAAAAAUUUAUUGCUAUUAGAUGAGCCUAUAUUAGAUUAGCUAGUUGGUGGAGUAAUAGCCUACCAAGGCAAUGAUCUAUAGCUGAUCUGAGAGGAUGAUCAGCCACACUGGAACUGAGAUACGGUCCAGACUCCUACGGGAGGCAGCAGUGGGGAAUAUUGGACAAUGGGCGAAAGCCUGAUCCAGCCAUGCCGCAUGAGUGAAGAAGGCCUUUGGGUUGUAAAGCUCUUUUAGUGAGGAAGAUAAUGACGGUACUCACAGAAGAAGUCCUGGCUAACUCCGUGCCAGCAGCCGCGGUAAUACGGAGAGGGCUAGCGUUAUUCGGGAUUAUUGGGCGUAAAGGGCGCGUAGGCUGGUUAGUAAGUUAAAAGUGAAAUCCCGAGGCUUAACCUUGGAACUGCUUUUAAAACUGCUAACCUAGAGAUUGAAAGAGGAUAGAGGAAUUCCUAGUGUAGAGGUGAAAUUCGUAAAUAUUAGGAGGAACACCAGUGGCGAAGGCGUCUAUCUGGUUCAAAUCUGACGCUGAGGCGCGAAGGCGUGGGGAGCAAACAGGAUUAGAUACCCUGGUAGUCCACGCUGUAAACGAUGAAUGUUAAAUAUGGGAAGUUUACUUUCUGUAUUACAGCUAACGCGUUAAACAUUCCGCCUGGGGACUACGGUCGCAAGAUUAAAACUCAAAGGAAUUGACGGGGACCCGCACAAGCGGUGGAGCAUGUGGUUUAAUUCGAUGCAACCCGAAAAACCUUACCACUCCUUGACAUGGAAAUCAUACCUAUUC